rnacentral:ncRNA from 1 species
AGUCUUCGGGGUCGGGUGAAAGUCCCAACCGGCGGUAUAGUCCGCGACCCGCGGCCGCACAGGAAGCGCCAGAGCGCAGGAGAGUGCGGGGCGGCUGAUUUGGUGCGAUUCCAAAACCGACAGUACAGUCUGGAUGAGAGAAGA